rnacentral:lncRNA from 10 species
AAUGUUCCCUUCCACCUUGUGGAAGUUUUGUUCUUUCGCUCUUUGCAAUAAAUCCCAUUGUUGCUCGCUCUUUGGGGUCUCACUGUCUGUGCGAGCUGUAAUACUCGCCGCAAAGGUGUCUGGCUUCACUUCCGAGACCAGCGAGACCCCGAACCCACCGGGAGGAAUGAACAACUCCGGAUGGGAGGGACAAACAACACCAGACGCACCGCCUUAAGAGUCCUAACGCUCACCGCGGAGGUCUGCGGCUUCACUCUUGAAUGAAGCCAGCGAGAUCACAAACCCACCAGAAGGAAGGAACUCUGAACACAUCCGAAAAUCAGAAGGAACAAACUCCGGACACACUACCUUUAAGAACUGUAACACUCAAAUCGCGAGGGUCCACGGCUUCGUUCUUGAAGUCAGUGAGACCAAGAACCCACAAAUUCCGGACACUUCCCCACACAGAGGGAACUGGCCUAACACUCUGGUGGUGCCAAUAGGAUGUACUGACAGAUCAGAAGUGGUCGUGAGAGAAGGAGCAAGUAGCCAGAAGAGUGAAGUGUGCACUGGCUGAGAUGUGGGAGCAGGUGUUGUUGGUUUCCCCGGAGUAAGUUACCUUGAGUGAGUUAAGGUUAAGAUAUCCCAGGGGUGAGGUUGAGCAGGCAGUUGUGUAUGUGACCCUGGGGAAAGUCUAGCUGAAGAUACAAAGAUGGGAUGAGAUCACCAAGGAGUAAGUGUCUUUAGCAAAGAGAAGAGACCAAGGACUGAAUCUGGAUACCUCAACAUUUGGAGUCAGAGCCUGAAAAGGAUCCCUCAAAAGUGCCCAAGAAGCAGCAGAAUGAGGAAAGACAGCCCAGGGAGUGUGGCACAGCUGCUCCUCACCACUUCAGGCUCCCCUGGAGUCCAAUGCACUGGGGCCUCAUUCCUGGGUAUUAUAAUUGCCUCCUAAGUGGCCUCUGGCUUAUGUCUCCUACCCCAGUUGAUGUUCAUCACAUCAGCCAGAGUGGCUCUGUUAAC